rnacentral:lncRNA from 1 species
CAUAUCUAACAAAGAAACGAACAANUGAAAAAAAAUGAAAAAAGGAAUUGUUAAUAAUUGACCCCUUGUGUGAUGAGAUCAGAUAUGAAAGAACAUGCCUGAGGAAUUGGAGAAACUUCAUCAAACGAUUAACUAGUAAAUCCUCAUCUGAUUGGAACAGUAAAAUUGUGCAGCAUCCCAGACAAAGUGAUGGUCACAACUGUGGACCACUCAUCUUAAAGUUUGCAGAAAUAUAUUUGCAGCACAAAGACAUCAGUACGGUGGAAACAACACAGAAGGCUAAUACUGCGUUUAGAAGACAUAUAGCAAUUCUUCUAAUGAAGGAGUCAGGUAAUUACUUUCUACCAUGUAUUGUGGACUCAUUAGGCACAUGUGAGGAUAACAUGAAGAAUGGAAUUUUGUCACAUAAUAGACAGUUAUCUUAAUACCCCUAAAGUGGGAUAUCUCGCAGGUUUGGUUCUGUACUGGUGACUAUGAAUCAAUAAUAUAUUUAAGUACACCAAAAUUUUAAUGGGGUGAAUGAUUGCUAUUGAUCGACCAGUUAAAUGAAAUUUGAAUUUUUAGAUACAGGUGUAGUAAAGUUAAAAUCUGAAAAAAAUAUUCCAAAAAAAGGAAAACAUAUGUGUUCAAACCAUUGACUGGAUUACAAUAUUGACAAUUAAUAUAUCAAGAUUAGCAUUUUCAGUGUUGGUCAUAACGUAUUCAUCAUUUCGUAAUGCUAUAUUUAUUUUUAAGAAAACGUGGAGGACUACUGCAUAUACUGCAACCUUAUCGACUGUGAAAAAGAAAGUGAGGAUUGCACGAUGGUAAGAAACAUAGAAUUACAUGAGAAAUAUAUGCCAUAAACU